UACGGAGGGUGCAAGCGUUAAUCGGAAUUACUGGGCGUAAAGCGUGCGUAGGCGGUUCGUUAAGUCUGUUGUGAAAGCCCCGGGCUCAACCUGGGAAUGGCAAUGGAUACUGGCGAGCUAGAGUGUGUCAGAGGAUGGUGGAACUCCCGGUGUAGCGGUGAAAUGCGUAGAGAUCGGGAGGAACAUCAGUGGCGAAGGCGGCCAUCUGGGACAACACUGACGCUGAGGCACGAAAGCGUGGGGAGCAAACAGG
rnacentral:rRNA from 1 species